rnacentral:rRNA from 1 species
UGGGGAAUAUUGCACAAUUGGGGAAACCCUGAUGCAGCGACGCCGCGUGAGCGAAGAAGGUUUUCGAAUCGUAAAGCUCUGUCCUAUGAGAAGAUAAUGACGGUAUCAUAGGAGGAAGCCCCGGCUAAAUACGUGCCAGCAGCCGCGGUAAUACGUAUGGGGCGAGCGUUGUCCGGAAUUAUUGGGCGUAAAGGGUACGUAGGCGGUCUAUUAAGUCAGGUGUGAAAGCGUGAGGCUUAACCUCAUUAAGCACUUGAAACUGAUAGACUUGAGUGAAGGAGAGGAAAGUGGAAUUCCUAGUGUAGCGGUGAAAUGCGUAGAUAUUAGGAGGAAUACCGGUGGCGAAGGCGACUUUCUGGACUUUUACUGACGCUCAGGUACGAAAGCGUGGGGAGCAAACAGG